UUAAGCGACUAAGCGUACACGGUGGAUGCCCUGGCAGUCAGAGGCGAUGAAGGACGUGCUAAUCUGCGAUAAGCGUCGGUAAGGUGAUAUGAACCGUUAUAACCGGCGAUUUCCGAAUGGGGAAACCCAGUGUGAUUCGUCACACUAUCAUUAACUGAAUCCAUAGGUUAAUGAGGCGAACCGGGGGAACUGAAACAUCUAAGUACCCCGAGGAAAAGAAAUCAACCGAGAUUCCCCCAGUAGCGGCGAGCGAACGGGGAGCAGCCCAGAGCCUGAAUCAGUGUGUGUGUUAGUGGAAGCGUCUGGAAAGGCGCGCGAUACAGGGUGACAGCCCCGUACACAAAAAUGCACAUACUGUGAGCUCGAUGAGUAGGGCGGGACACGUGGUAUCCUGUCUGAAUAUGGGGGGACCAUCCUCCAAGGCUAAAUACUCCUGACUGACCGAUAGUGAACCAGUACCGUGAGGGAAAGGCGAAAAGAACCCCGGCGAGGGGAGUGAAAAAGAACCUGAAACCGUGUACGUACAAGCAGUGGGAGCCUCUUUAUGGGGUGACUGCGUACCUUUUGUAUAAUGGGUCAGCGACUUAUAUUCUGUAGCAAGGUUAACCGAAUAGGGGAGCCGAAGGGAAACCGAGUCUUAACUGGGCGUUAAGUUGCAGGGUAUAGACCCGAAACCCGGUGAUCUAGCCAUGGGCAGGUUGAAGGUUGGGUAACACUAACUGGAGGACCGAACCGACUAAUGUUGAAAAAUUAGCGGAUGACUUGUGGCUGGGGGUGAAAGGCCAAUCAAACCGGGAGAUAGCUGGUUCUCCCCGAAAGCUAUUUAGGUAGCGCCUCGUGAAUUCAUCUCCGGGGGUAGAGCACUGUUUCGGCAAGGGGGUCAUCCCGACUUACCAACCCGAUGCAAACUGCGAAUACCGGAGAAUGUUAUCACGGGAGACACACGGCGGGUGCUAACGUCCGUCGUGAAGAGGGAAACAACCCAGACCGCCAGCUAAGGUCCCAAAGUCAUGGUUAAGUGGGAAACGAUGUGGGAAGGCCCAGACAGCCAGGAUGUUGGCUUAGAAGCAGCCAUCAUUUAAAGAAAGCGUAAUAGCUCACUGGUCGAGUCGGCCUGCGCGGAAGAUGUAACGGGGCUAAACCAUGCACCGAAGCUGCGGCAGCGACACUAUGUGUUGUUGGGUAGGGGAGCGUUCUGUAAGCCUGUGAAGGUGUACUGUGAGGUAUGCUGGAGGUAUCAGAAGUGCGAAUGCUGACAUAAGUAACGAUAAAGCGGGUGAAAAGCCCGCUCGCCGGAAGACCAAGGGUUCCUGUCCAACGUUAAUCGGGGCAGGGUGAGUCGACCCCUAAGGCGAGGCCGAAAGGCGUAGUCGAUGGGAAACAGGUUAAUAUUCCUGUACUUGGUGUUACUGCGAAGGGGGGACGGAGAAGGCUAUGUUGGCCGGGCGACGGUUGUCCCGGUUUAAGCGUGUAGGCUGGUUUUCCAGGCAAAUCCGGAAAAUCAAGGCUGAGGCGUGAUGACGAGGCACUACGGUGCUGAAGCAACAAAUGCCCUGCUUCCAGGAAAAGCCUCUAAGCAUCAGGUAACAUCAAAUCGUACCCCAAACCGACACAGGUGGUCAGGUAGAGAAUACCAAGGCGCUUGAGAGAACUCGGGUGAAGGAACUAGGCAAAAUGGUGCCGUAACUUCGGGAGAAGGCACGCUGAUAUGUAGGUGAAGCGACUUGCUCGUGGAGCUGAAAUCAGUCGAAGAUACCAGCUGGCUGCAACUGUUUAUUAAAAACACAGCACUGUGCAAACACGAAAGUGGACGUAUACGGUGUGACGCCUGCCCGGUGCCGGAAGGUUAAUUGAUGGGGUUAGCGGUAACGCGAAGCUCUUGAUCGAAGCCCCGGUAAACGGCGGCCGUAACUAUAACGGUCCUAAGGUAGCGAAAUUCCUUGUCGGGUAAGUUCCGACCUGCACGAAUGGCGUAAUGAUGGCCAGGCUGUCUCCACCCGAGACUCAGUGAAAUUGAACUCGCUGUGAAGAUGCAGUGUACCCGCGGCAAGACGGAAAGACCCCGUGAACCUUUACUAUAGCUUGACACUGAACAUUGAGCCUUGAUGUGUAGGAUAGGUGGGAGGCUUUGAAGUGUGGACGCCAGUCUGCAUGGAGCCGGCCUUGAAAUACCACCCUUUAAUGUUUGAUGUUCUAACGUUGGCCCCUGACCGGGGUUGCGGACAGUGUCUGGUGGGUAGUUUGACUGGGGCGGUCUCCUCCUAAAGAGUAACGGAGGAGCACGAAGGUUGGCUAAUCCUGGUCGGACAUCAGGAGGUUAGUGCAAUGGCAUAAGCCAGCUUGACUGCGAGCGUGACGGCGCGAGCAGGUGCGAAAGCAGGUCAUAGUGAUCCGGUGGUUCUGAAUGGAAGGGCCAUCGCUCAACGGAUAAAAGGUACUCCGGGGAUAACAGGCUGAUACCGCCCAAGAGUUCAUAUCGACGGCGGUGUUUGGCACCUCGAUGUCGGCUCAUCACAUCCUGGGGCUGAAGUAGGUCCCAAGGGUAUGGCUGUUCGCCAUUUAAAGUGGUACGCGAGCUGGGUUUAGAACGUCGUGAGACAGUUCGGUCCCUAUCUGCCGUGGGCGCUGGAGAACUGAGGGGGGCUGCUCCUAGUACGAGAGGACCGGAGUGGACGCAUCACUGGUGUUCGGGUUGUCAUGCCAAUGGCACUGCCCGGUAGCUAAAUGCGGAAGAGAUAAGUGCUGAAAGCAUCUAAGCACGAAACUUGCCCCGAGAUGAGUUCUCCCUGACUCCUUGAGAGUCCUGAAGGAACGUUGAAGACGACGACGUUGAUAGGCCGGGUGUGUAAGCGCAGCGAUGCGUUGAGCUAACCGGUACUAAUGAACCGUGAGGCUUAACCUU
rnacentral:rRNA from 1 species